rnacentral:rRNA from 1 species
CAAUAGCGUAUAUUAAAGUUGUUGCAGUUAAAAAGCUCGUAGUUGGAUUUCUGGUACAACGCGCCUGGCCCGCUUUAUGUGAGUGCUGGUGCGCGUUUGCCAUCCUUCUAGAAAACGUUUCUACCCUUUACUGGGCCGGACUCGCGAUCUAGAUCUUUUACUUUGAAAAAUUAGAGUGUUCAAAGCAGGCUUUUGCUGUGAAUACAUUAGCAUGGAAUAAUAAUCUAGGACUUCGGUUUUAUUUUGUUUGGUUUCUUAACACUGAAGUAAUGAUUGAUAGGGAUAGUUGGGGGUUGGCUAGUAUUGGCCGGCCAGAGGUGAAAUUCUUGGAUUCGGUCAAGACUAACUUAUGCGAAAGCAUUCACCAAGGAUGUCUUCUUUAAUCAAGAACGAAAGUUAGGGGGAGUCGAAGACGAUCAGAUACCGU